ACAGCCAUUUCCAUCAUCUUUCAUUUCUGAGACAAGCUCUCAGCCGCCAUCUCGAGCCCAGAGCCAUGAGAGCUCUCUUCCUCUCUCUUUAUUUCUCUCAAACCUUAGCACAAAACCGCUGCUUUCUAGCCGUACCUCCAUAACUAUAGCUCAUAUUCGAAGUACAACAUGCAACCCCUAAACUUGAAACAAACUCGCCUUGCUCAACCACCAGAUCCAUCCCAUCUCAGUACAGCCAUCACUGUACUCUUUGUCCUCAAUGCACGGACUCUCGGAUCCACAGCAGAAAACAACCCAAAUCGCAGAUCUUAAGGUAGAAUCGAAGGUAAAUAUUAUCAACCACGAUUUAGAUGAAUAGGUUAUGUGAAUUUGUGUGAAUGAUUUUGUCUCAGUGUCCUUGUGUAUUCGUGCACCCAUGUAUGAAUAUAUCUUUGCAUGCUCAUAAUUGUCCCUUUGUUGUGCAUGUCUCCUGAUGAUGAAUGCCGAGGAAAAUUCGUGCAAAAAUCUGCAUCUGAACUUAGCUUGAGAACUCGUCUCCUCUGUGCUACUUGGUCCACCCCCAAAACUUGUAUUGAAGUAUUUUUUUUAAUUGAAAUGUGAGAGAGUGAGAGAGUGAAAGGGGUCCAUUAGCAUAGAGGUCUUCUCAGCAUCCCCACUCCUUCGUGGGAAGGGUUUUAGUGGCACAUAAGCAUGGGUGGCCCUCGGUUCUGGGAAGAGAUCCGAAUGUGUUGCUUCCUCCCUUGGGCGUGAAUGGCUGGCAGAGUGCUCCUCAGUUCUUGAGAGUCUCCUCCUGAUCAUUAAAGUUGUUCCUGCAGUUUGAUGCUUGAAUUUGAAAUCCUUGAUGGGUUCUUUCAAUGCACAACUCAAUUGAUUCCAACAAUAUUGAAAGUUUGUCCUCCAUUGAGAGCUUUUGUGGCACAUUAGGUUGCUCAAAAUUGCUCAAGAUGUUUUUUUCAAACUUGUAGUGUAGAACUCUGAAUAUGGAUUGUUCCAAUGCCUUUUGGAGUCGAUUCUCAUAUUGAUAUGUUUUUGGACAAACU